AUUGAACGCUGGCGGCAUGCUUUACACAUGCAAGUCGAACGGCAGCGCGGGGCAACCCGGCGGCGAGUGGCGAACGGGUGAGUAAUACAUCGGAACGUACCCAGAAGUGGGGGAUAACGUAGCGAAAGUUACGCUAAUACCGCAUACGUUCUACGGAAGAAAGUGGGGGACCUUCGGGCCUCAUGCCUUUGGAGCGGCCGAUGUCUGAUUAGCUAGUUGGUGAGGUAAAGGCUCACCAAGGCGACGAUCAGUAGCUGGUCUGCGAGGACGACCAGCCACACUGGGACUGAGACACGGCCCAGACUCCUACGGGAGGCAGCAGUGGGGAAUUUUGGACAAUGGGCGCAAGCCUGAUCCAGCAAUGCCGAGUGAGUGAAGAAGGCCUUCGGGUUGUAAAGCUCUUUUGUCAGGGAAGAAACGGCUGAGGAUAAUACCUUCGGCUAAUGACGGUACCUGAAGAAUAAGCACCGGCUAACUACGUGCCAGCCGCCGCCGUAA
rnacentral:rRNA from 1 species